rnacentral:tRNA from 1 species
GGGCGAUUAGCUCAGUGGAUAGAGCACAGGCCUCCGGAGCCUGGUGUCGAGGGUUCAAAUCCCUCAUCGCCCUCCA